UCCGGUAACCGUUCGCACACUACGUUACCGAACGCGUAAAUAAAGAACACUGUUAUUUAUAUGAAGAACAGUACAAAAUAUUUAUCAAUAAAGAACGCAGAUCAACGGUCAAUCAAACGUCUCAGCGCAGCGAAGGCUCAUAUCGAAAGGAUCCUCUCCAGCUUGUUUCUUAAACAAACGGAUAGUCACCAGGCAACACCAGGCAACACGAUCUUCAGGACAUAGGUGACGAUCUUAUAUACGGGUAUCGGCAAAUUACGGGCAUUCGAAACGGCACGGGCAUACAUAUAUGUACACAGUACAGGAUGUUUCCAACACAACGUGUUUCAGGAAUAUGUUCAGGAGAACAUUUUGCCGUUGCGUUUCCUGCACAUAAGAUUAAUUUUUCAUCCAAAACGGAAUAAUUAGAAACAUGGCGCAUUUUGCAAGAUAUCAAGGAGUAACGCCACACAUCUUUGUUAAAUAUACCUGUGUGAAAUCCAAAUUCUCCACC